rnacentral:rRNA from 1 species
GUGCCAGCAGCCGCGGUAAUACGAAGGAUGCAAGCGUUAUCCGGAUUCACUGGGUUUAAAGGGUGUGCAGGUGGGAUAAUAAGUCAGUGGUGAAAGCCCCCGACUCAAUCGGGGAACUGCCAUAGAUACUGUUAUUCUUGAGUGUAGUUGAGGUGGGCGGAAUAUGACAUGUAGCGGUGAAAUGCGUAGAUAUGUCAUAGAACACCGAUCGCGGAGGCAGCUCGCCAAACUAUUACUGACACUGAAACACGAAAGUGCGGGGAUCAAACAGGAUUAGAUACCCUGGUAGUCCGCACUGUAAACGAUGAUCACUCGUUGUUGGCGAUACACAGUCAGCGACUAAGCGAAAGCAUUAAGUGAUCCACCUGGGAAGUACGACCGCAAGGUUGAAACUCAAAGGAAUUGACGG